rnacentral:rRNA from 1 species
AAACAUUUUAAAUGCAGUCCAGCACCCCUGUGAAAANGCCCUUCUUUACCUAUUAGUAAAUAAGGAGCGGAUAUCAGGCACAAUUUAUGCCCAUAACAUCUUGCCAAGCCACACCUCUACAGGAAUUCAGCAGUGAUAAACAUUGAAAAAUAAGCGUCAAUAAGCUCGAAUCAGUAAUAAUUUUAAGAGUUGGUAAAUUUCGUGCCAGCCACCGCGGUUAUACGAGAAACUCAAAUUAAUAAAAACGGCCUAAAGCGUGAUUAAAUUAUAUUAAAAUAAAUAGAAAUAAAAAUUAACUCGACUGUUAUACGUAUAUGUUAAACGGUAAACCAAAAACGAAAGAUAUUCUAACAAAUAAACUACUUGAACCCACGAAAGCUAAGAAACAAACUAGGAUUAGAUACCCUACUAUGCUCAGCCUUAAACUUUGGAACAACCCGCCGCUACGAGCCACAGCUUAAAACUCAAAGGACUUGGCGGUGCUCUACACCCCCGAAUUAGGUGGAAAGAAAUGGGCUACAUUUUCUAAACUAGAAAAUACGACGAAUUAGGUGGAAAGAAAUGGGCUACAUUUUUUAAAAUAGAAAAUUCGAAAAAUUUUAUGAAAAACUAUUUAAAGGUGGAUUUAGCCGUAAAAAGAAAAUAGAGUGUUCUUUUUAAAUAGGCCAUAGAGGGGGCACACACCGCCCGUCACCCUCCUCAGAAAAACAACUAAUUUAUAUAAAAGAAUAGAUGGAACCCC